GGUGCGGCUCUCUAGCGGCGCCCUCUAGCGGCGCCUGGCGGAGCCUUCCCGAAAGCCCGACCUCGGAGCCUAAGCGUGCCCUAGUAACCUUCGCAAAAAGGAAGAGAGGGGUUCCCCUUUUGGCCCUGGCCCAGUGACUUUGCUGUUUCUUCCUUGGAGAGACCUGGCUUUGGGCGAUAGGGGGAUAAGGGGAUUAGAGCAGUGGCUCUCAUAGGGUGGUCUGAGGGGCCCUGUGGGUCCGAAGAUCCUUUCAAAACUAGUUUCAUAGUAAUGGUAGGAUUUCGUUUCCCUUUCUUAACUCUCGCUGAAAUUUUCCAGAGAACUGAUGUGUGAUGACGUCAUCGCUCUCAUGACUAAAGGAAUGUGUGCUUGUAUUGUGUUUUCUAGAAUUUCCUAAGCUUCCAGAAUGUUCCACAUUUGUUGAAAACUACAAACAAACAUAUCCAAGAAUCCCAGUGAAUGCCAAGCAGCAUAAACACAAAGAAAACCACAUCAAGGCACUGCGGAAUCAAAUUUCUCAAAACUAGUGAUGCAGAGAAAAUCUUAAGUUAAGACUAAUCACUGCUUUCUCAUCAAAAACUAUGCAAACCAGAAGAUGGUGGAACAACAUCUCUAAAGCAUGGGAAGAAUGCUUUCAACCCAGAAUUUUAUAUCCAGUGAAAAUGUCCUUCAAAGAUGAAGGCAAAAUGAAGACAUUUCAGAUAAGCGAAAGCCAAGAGCAUUCAUCACUAGUGAACUUGUACCACAAGGAAUGCUAAAAGAAGUUCUUCAGGUUAAAGGAAAAUGAUACCAGAUGGACACAAGAAUCUAUGCAAAGGAAUGAAGAGUACCAGAAAUGUUUUCUGACAUCAGAAGUGGUAUCCAAAGAAGACCCUCAACAACUCUGAGGCCAGUGAGCAACCACGUGCUGGUACCCACUGGGCCCAUUGAGCUCACCACUUUCUUGCCAACCUUGCAGUCAGCCUGAAUGUUGCUCUCUUUGCAUGUUGAGCUCUCGGAAUUUAUUGUGCAUACCUGUAUUCUGUUUGUUGAAGCUUCUUGAAGAAGAAAGGAAAAAGAAGAAGGCAAAACCUUAAUGAAUAUAGAAAGAUGCAAAAGGCAAAAUGCUUCAUCUUCAAAGAGAUUUAUGGAAAAGAUAUUAACAAGUACUCUAGAAUACAAGUUUCUGAUAACUUUAAGAUCAUAACACUGAACUGGGUAAGAAUUUCUAAGACUCUACUGGAAAAGUGAUUGAUUCAUAAAGCUACUAACCCAAGAUGAAGCAAAACAAAAAUUAAUUACAGGAGACUGAAUGAACUGAUGAAGAUGAUUAUAACUUUUAUGACUUCAUUUUAAAUAUUGCUGGUUGUUUAAUGUUUUGUUUUCCAGAUUUAAAGGACUCCUUUUGCUCCUCUCUUUUAAGCUAUUAAUAUUUAUAACUUGACAGCAAUUUGAGAAAGUAUGCUUUUGUAAACAAAAGUUGAAACAUUUAUCUUUUUCUCCCUACCUAAUCCCUCCAGAAUUCAGAAACUCUUAUUAAAUACUCUUCUUUUCAUGACAAUAUAUGUAUUUAUAUAAACUCAAUAAGAAUUUGUUCUUCUUGUAGCAGGACACAAGUAAACAAGUCCUUAGCUUGGCUUCUUAGCCUAAAGAGACUUUAAAGGUCUAAUCUGAAAUUCUUUAUUACCAGGCAAUUUUAAAGAACUAAAGUUGACUUUAUGGAGCCAGUAAAGCCCCUUGGAUAUUACCAAGGCUUUGACCAAAAUGUCAUGUUUGAGAAUCUGCAUAGAAUUACUAUUCUUACUACAUUUAUGUAAAUAAUCUAUCCAAGUUUAAUAAGAUGACUUAUAAACAAAUUAGUUUCACUAUAAGUAUUUUGAUAAAAGUGGGAUGACUAUGGAAAAAAUUGUUUCACUAGAAAACUAUGGUUAUCAUGGUAUCUCUCCUACCAGGUAAGUAUAGAAAAGUAUGGUGUAUUCUUUAUCAAAUUCUAGUCCUGUUAAUUGUCUUUGAGGUUUCGUUAUCUACUUGUAAACUUCAGAGAAAUCACCACAAUAGAUCAUGUAUGGACAACCUUCAUGCUUGUUGCUGUAAAGGCUGCUCAAGAAAGUUCAGUAGAAUACCUGAUGACAUCAAAGACAGUUAAGCUGCAAACCAGGAAAAUCCACAGAUUGAAACUGCCAUCCUUAUUCCACUCCCUAAAGAUGCUUCGAAUUCAAAUCUAGAAAUGUUCUCAAUUGGCUGCUCUCCAAACUCAGAAACUGAAUUUAUAAUUUGCUCGAACUGUUAACCCUUGUUUUUCUUUUAUUUCCAUAGAAAUGCGUCUUAUUAAAUUACCUUAUUGCACACAUCAUAUAGAGGCCUUAGGUGGAGGCACACCUGCAGUACCACCUCCUGAACUGAAACAUCCUCAUGUUCAUCCUGUCCUAGGCUUGGUUUUUUCAUCUCCACAGACGAGGCCAGACAGAAGCCAUAUGUGGUGUCCUGUGCAGUGUGCUAAUGAGUUACCUAUAUAAACAGAACAAAGCCGUCUAGCAAUCCCAUAAAGAUCACAUAUAACGAUAAACCAGCUAGAAUAAUGCCACUGUUUCUGAAGAUAAAGUCAACUAAUACUAAUGGCACCAUCCUGUCUUUGUGUGGCCCCGUCUCCAAAUAGCACAAGAUACAAAUUUAUACCCGAAAACGUGUUAUGUAAAUUCAAACAACCAGCAUGAUUUUAAUGUCUAUAAAAUAUACAAAUCCUCAUUGUAAAGUCAGUUUCGAAAGCUUGCGGGCACUCUGAAGCAUGUGCUUCUGCAGAGAUAGUGAAUUAUGUUUAUAGCUUUGUUCCCUCUAUGGCUAUGCAUCCUGGUGCAGCUGUAAUUGUAUCAGAGGUACUUGUUGAUUUUCCUUGGGCUGAGGAAUGGCAGGGUUGGCUCCUAUGCUGGCCCAGCUGAAUGGGCUGCCUUGGGGUCUGAGGGGAGGCUCUAUUUCCCAGCUAGGAUGGUAGCAGUUGGGGUGGUGUGAAAAAAAUGAUGGAAAGUGGGUGGGCAAGAGAAUGGAGAGAAAUAGGAUGCAGAGGGAGGAACGAAUGGAAGAGAACGGAAUUUGUUGGAGAGAGUGGAUGAAGUGGGAAGGAGGGUGGCCGUGACAAGGUGAAGAAUGAUCAGAAGAUUAGGCGUGGGUAGGAGAGUUGCCCACUGAAAUUUUACCUUUUAAGUCCUAUUUUAUUGAAAGAGACAUCUUUAUUGAAGAGGACACCCUGAGAUGAAGACGUCCUAUCCUAAAGAAACCCUCUGAUCCCAUGUCACUAAUAGUAUGACAUGUUUUACAUGUUUGCCAUUUUUAAGCAAGAGGAAAUUGUUAGAGGAAAAAGAGCAUUGCUAAAGAUAUAAAACCUUUCAACACUUGGAUUUGAUGAGCAGUCAUAAAGGUGGAGCUGAGGAAAGUGGUUAAGAAUAGCCUGCCAAUGCAGGGGACACGGGUUCAAGCCCUGGU